rnacentral:rRNA from 1 species
AUACGUAGGGAACAAGCGUUGUCCGGAUUUACUGGGCGUAAAGGGCAUGUAGGCGGUUUUUUAAGUCAGAUGUGAAAGGCACCGGCUCAACCGGUGACAUGCAUUUGAAACUGAAGAACUUGAGUAUUGGAGAGGCAAGCGGAAUUCCUGGUGUAGCGGUGAAAUGCGUAGAUAUCAGGAGGAACACCGGUGGCGAAGGCGGCUUGCUGGACAAAUACUGACGCUGAGAUGCGAAAGCGUGGGGAGC